GCCCCUGUAGCUCAGCUGGAUAGAGCAGAGGCUUCCUAAGCCUUUGGUCGGGGGUUCGAAUCCCUCCAGGGGUA
rnacentral:tRNA from 1 species